UCCCUACGUAGCACGUAUAGAUUGGAAUUUUAGAACCAACAAAUUUUAAAAGGGAGUCUGUCUUUAAAUGUGGCGUGUAUGCUUAUACUUUUAUAAACUAUAAGAAACCCACAAGCAUUUAACAAGACACCCACCUGUCGUAGGCAGGUCCUUAAAAUUUCUCUCUGGCUUACGGCUAAUGUGGGGGAU
rnacentral:other from 1 species